rnacentral:snoRNA from 13 species
UAGCAAGCCUCCAGCACGCUUGGGUCUGUGGUGACCUGUGUAUUCCUACAGCGCUGGCUAGAACAGCUCUGAAGCAGUUUGAGGCCUUGCCCUGCCCUACCCAGAGCAAGGUUAUAGAAAUUUCUGACAAUC